rnacentral:rRNA from 2 species
UCUGAAUCUGCGUACGGCUCCGCACACCAGUUGUAAACCAAAGCAAGCAAGCCCGGUCUCGACGCCUUUCGGGGCUAGGGGUCGGGCUACAAGGAUAACCCUGGUAAUUCUGAGGCUAAUACUUGACACUCACUUGCCGACUGGGCCUCGGUCUGGGAAGCAGGGGAUGUGCGACUAUCGGGCCAACGAAACCGGAAAGAGCGCACGUUCAGACCACUUAAAAAGGCUACGGGACCCCUCGGGAUCCCGGAGCUGUGGCUCUUGCAGCGUGCUUCUGACCUAUCAACUAGACGGCAGCCUAAAGGACAUGCUUUGGU